GCAAAUCCCAUAAAGUUGUUCUCAGUUCGGAUUGUAGUCUGCAACUCGACUACAUGAAGCUGGAAUCGCUAGUAAUCGUAGAUCAGCAUGCUACGGUGAAUACGUUCCCGGGUCUUGUACACACCGCCCGUCACACCACGAGAGUUUGUAACACCCGAAGCCGGUGGAGUAACCUUUUAGGAGCUAGCCGUCGAAGGUGGGACAAAUGAUUGGGGUGAAGUCGUAACAAGGUAGCCGUAUCGGAAGGUGYGGCUGGAUCACCUCCUUUCUAAGGA
rnacentral:rRNA from 1 species